rnacentral:rRNA from 1 species
UACGGGGGGAGCAAGCGUUGUUCGGAUUUACUGGGCGUAAAGGGCGCGUAGGCGGCCAGCACAAGUCAGUUGUGAAAUCUCCGAGCUUAACUCGGAAAGGUCAACUGAUACUGUGCGGCUAGAGUGCGGAAGGGGCAACUGGAAUUCUUGGUGUAGCGGUGAAAUGCGUAGAUAUCAAGAGGAACACCUGCGGCGAAGGCGGGUUGCUGGGCCGACACUGACGCUGAUGCGCGAAAACCAGGGGAGCGAACGGG